rnacentral:lncRNA from 1 species
ACGGGCCAUGUGUUAAAAACAAAGAAAAUGCCCAAGACAUCAUAUAUCUAAGCCCAUGAAGCCAUGUCUUCAUGGAAGCUUCUGGAACGUCCCGGAGAAAUCAAGAACGUGGCGGAGCAUUCAAGAUAAUCUAGGGCAUUCCGGAACAUUCCACACAAGUGUACAUAUUUAAGCCUCACCUAGAAUAAUCUAGAUUAGGCAAGUUGUAUCUAGAACUAUGCUAGAUAUUUUUGGAUGUAAGUAGGGGAUUCUAGAACCCUCCAUUGAGGAGGUGACUUAGGCCUAUAAAUAGGAGGUAAGGCCAUUUGGCCAAACCAUCCAAGAAUUGUAAGCAAUUGUAAAGUUCUCUUAACUUUCAAUACAAAGCUUCCUUUCUCCCAUCUUUUAAGUGAUCUUAGCAUUCUCCAAGCAAUCUUAGCUUUCUUUGUGAUUCGAUCCGGGGAAGCGAGGCUUCGAAGGCUUACUUAGCUUGUUCAUCGAGGUAUUCAAGUCUAAGUGCCGCACGGGCGGAAGGCUUAAAGAGUCAUCCCGUGACAGCUGGUAUCAGAGCCAAGCUCGUGAAUCACUUGAAGGAAAGUAGGAUAUGGCAAGUGGAGAGAUGGUGUCCGGAGUCUCCGAUCUAAGGGAGCGUACUGCCGAGGUCCAAGACGUUGCCAAGAGCAAGCCAAAGUUAAAGGACUUGCAAGCAUCGAUGGAGACCAUGGAAGAGCGACUCGAGAAGGUGGAACGAACCAUACUCGAGUUCGAUACUCGACUUGAUGAGGACGUUGUCGACAAGGAGGAAAUCCAAACCAUGGUGGACAAUGGUAAGGAUGAACUGCGUGGCUUGGUGGAAGGGCUACGAGAUGAGCUCCUUGGCGCUCUCAACACCAUGGCAGAAAAGAUGCGGAGGGAAGUCCAGGUUCACCUUGACAACAUAGAGGCAAGGUUUGUGGCGCUUCAAGAAGAGAUAAAGGACACAAGGGAACUUAAGGGAGAUGUGGCGUUUUUGUAAAGAAGCAGUCGUGAAGCAAUUCGUGCAAGGGCCGAGGGAAAUCAAGGCGUUGGACUCCAAGGUAAUCGACUCCUUUAAACCCACAUCCUAUAAUGGGAAGAGGGAAGCAAAGGAGCUCGACACAUUCGUGUGGAACGUGGAGCGAUACUUCAAGUACCUGAAGCUUGAAGAUGACGAGUCCAAAAUCUCAACGGCAACCAUGUUCUUAGCUGACAAUGCCCUUAUGUGGUGGCGUCGUCGGAGCAUGGAGAUUGAGCAAGGUACGUUCUCUCUCACCACUUGGGAUGAAUUUAAGAAAGAUCUUAUGUUGCACUUCUAUCCCCAAAAUGCCAAGUACGAAGCCAAGGAGAAACUAAGGUGGCUCAAGCAAACGGGGAGCGUCAAAGACUAUGUCAACGCCUUCGUGAACUUGUUAUUCGAGGUGCCCAACAUGUUAGAGGAAGACAAGCUCAUGUACUUCAUGAGUGGACUGCAAAAUUGGGCAAAACUCGAACUACAAAGGAGACACGUGCAAACAUUGUCUGAUGCCAUUGCCGCUGCCGAAUCCUUGAUUGAGUUUAAAUCAAGCCACCAAGGUGAUUCCAAGUCCACGGGGAAGAGGGGUAACCAUGAGAGAAGUGGGGGAGAACAUAAGCCGAAGGACAAGGCCGAGACAAGCAAACCGAAGGAGAAGAAAGCCGAUAAGCAUGACAAAGGCAAGGGUAAGUCUUGGCAACCCACUUGUUACCUAUGUGACGGCUCUCACAUGAUGCGAGAUUGCCCACAAAAGAAGGCCCUUAAGGCCAUGGCUUUUAAGGAGGACAAGGCCGGGGAGAGUAACGAUGCAAGUAUGGGAUGCAUCCGUCUACUGAAUGCCAUCCAGACAACCCUCCCACAACCUAAGGCUCAAGUUGGGGGAGGAUCAUUGUUCGUCGACGUCAAGACUGGUGACAAGAUGACGCGUGUGUUGGUGGACACGGGAGCAACACACAACUUCAUGACGUCGGAGGAAGCCACAAGGCUUGGCCUCCGAGUCACAAAGGAGCCUGGUAGCGUGAAAACGGUAAAUUCCGCCGCCACCCCCAUUGUUGGAGUUGCGCGUAAUGUGCACGUAGACAUUGGCACAUGGAAGGGAACGAUCGACUUCACCGUAGUCAAGAUGGACGACUAUGGCGUAGUCAUUGGGUUAGAGUUCAUGGACAAGGUACGAGCCUUUCCCAUUCCCUUCUACAAUAUCUUCUGUAUCCUAGCCGACGGGAGACAACCUUGCCUGGUGCCAUUAGAAAGGCAAGCCAAGAAGUGUACCCAACACUUGUCGGCAAUUCAAUUUGCCAAGUCUUGGAAGAAAGGCGAGGCCACAUUUCUUGCAACCCUAAUGUUGAAUGAAGGGGAGGAGAAGUACGGGCCUUUGCCGAAACAAGUGGAAGACGUCCUUGCGGAGUUUGCGGACGUGAUGCCUAAGGAACUACCAAAGAAGUUGCCACCAAGGAGAGAGGUCGACCAUGCGAUUGAGUUGGAGCCUGGUGCUAAGCCUCCCUCCAAAUCACCUUAUAGGAUGUCGCCACCCGAGUUGGAGGAAUUGAGGAAGCAACUCAACGAGCUACUUGAUGCUGGCUACAUCCAACCCUCCAAGUCCCCAUAUGGUGUACCCGUCUUGUUCCAACGCAAGAAAGAAGGUAGCCUAAGGUUGUGCAUCGACUAUAGAGCAUUGAACAAGAUUACCAUCAAGAACAAGUACCCACUUCCGUUGAUCGCCGACUUAUUCGAUCAACUUGGUGAAGCAAGGUACUUCACAAAGUUAGAUCUUCGAUCGGGAUACUACCAAGUGAGGAUAACCCCUGGAGACGAAUCGAAGACGGCGAUGGUGACCAGAUAUGAAGCGUUCGAGUAUAAAGUCAUGCCAUUUGGUCUGACCAAUGCCCCUGCAACAUUCUGCACAUUGAUGAACAAGGUAUUCCAUCCUUAUCUUGACAAGUUUGUCGUGGUUUACAUUGAUGAUAUCGUUGUCUAUAGCAAGACAUUGGAGGAGCACGUCAAGCACUUGCGCAUAGUGUUCAAGACCCUUCGGGAGCAUGAACUCUAUGUCAAGAAGGAGAAAUGCUCCUUUGCCACAAAAGAAGUAGAAUUUCUCGGCCACAAGAUAAAGGAGGGGAAACUUAUGAUGGAAAAUGGCAAGAUCAAGGCCAUUCAAGAGUGGGAACCGCCGACCAAGGUACCAACACUACGAUCCUUUCUGGGGCUAGCCAAUUACUAUCGGAGAUUCAUAAAAGGGUAUUCAGCCAUAGCAGCACCCUUGACAGACCUUCUUAAGAAGAACAAUGCAAUGCAUGGGAAUGGACGAACCGGUGUCAAGAGGCAUUUGAGAGGUUGAAGAAGGCCCUAAUGGAGGAGCCUGUACUAAGGUUGCCUGACCUUAGUAAGCCAUUCGAGUUGCACACUGAUGCUUCCGACUUUGCCAUAGAAGGAGUGUUGAUGCAAGAGGGACAUCCGAUAGCCUAUGAAAGUCGCAAGCUAAACAAUGCCGAGAAGAGGUACACGACCCAUGAAAAGGAGAUGACCGCCAUCGUCCAUUGCCUUAGAGUUUAGAGGCAUUACUUGCUUGGUACCCCAUUCAUCAUCAAGACGGACAACGUUGCCACUAGCUACUUUCAAACCCAACAAAAGCUCACACCUAAGCAAGCAAGGUGGCAAGAGUUCUUAGCGGAGUUUGAUUACAAGCUAGAGUACAAGCAAGGAAAGGAGAACGUGGUGGCCGAUGCUCUAAGUAGACGAGUAGAGUUAAUGGCUACGGUACUCAAGCCGCAAAGCCAUCUCUUGGACCGUGUCCGAGAAGGUUUGUCACAUGACGUCCAAGCCAAGAACAUUGUGGAGUUUGUCAAAGAUGGGAAGACAAGAAGGUUUUGGCUUGAGGACGGCUUGCUAUACACCAAGGGCAAGCGGAUCUACGUCCCAAAGUGGGGAAGCUUAAGGAAAGAAAUCCUUAAGGAGUGCCAUGACUCAAUGUGGGCAGGACAUCCUGGCACUCACCGCACGUUGGCUUUGGUGAGCGAUGCUUAUUAUUGGCCACAAAUGCGGGAUGAUGUAGAUUCAUACGUGAAGACUUGUCUUGUGUGCCAACAAGACAAAGUGGAACAAAGGCAACCGGGAGAACUGUUGGAACCACUUCCCACCCCAUCAAGACCAUGGGAGUGUUUGACCAUGGAUUUCAUCACACAUUUGCCCAAGUCUGAUGGAUGUGGAUCUAUCUUCGUCGUGGUUGAUAGAUUCACCAAGUAUGCCACUUUCAUACCCGCACCCGUGGAGUGCACAGCCGAAGUAGCUGCACGCUUGUUUCUAAAGCACGUGGUGAAGUAUUGGGGUGUUCCGAGGAGCAUAGUCAGCGAUCGAGAUGCUCACUUCACGGGUAGAUUUUGGAAGGAGCUCUUCAAGCUACUUGGCUCAAAGUUAGACUUCUCCACAGCUUUUCAUCCCCAAACUGAUGGACAAACGGAGCGGGUUAACGCAUUGUUGGAGACUUAUUUGCGGCACUAUGUUAGUGCCAAUCAACGAGAUUGGGCUAAGUUACUUGAUGUUGCCCAAUUCUCUUAUAACUUGCAACGUUCGGAGUCGACGGGGAAAAGUCCGUUCGAGUUGGCUAUAGGGCAACAACCCUUGACCCCGAACACGGUCGUGACUGGCUACACGGGGAAUAGUCCAGCCGCUUUCAAAACCGCUAAUGAGUGGCAAUUAGCCCACGAACUUGCUCGAGCUCAUUUGGAGAAGGCUUCAAAGAAGAUGAAGAAAUGGGCGGAUCGCAAGCGAAGGAAUGUGGAGUUCCAAACUGGCGACCAAGUCUUUGUGAAGCUUAAUGCGUCUCAGCACAAGAGUACUCGUGGCUUGCACAAGAGCUUGUUGCGGAAAUAUGAGGGACCAUUCCCUAUCAUCAAGAAGGUUGGCAAAGCCGCGUAUGUUGUGGAACUCCCACCCCGCCUCAAGUUUCACCCGGUGUUCCAUGUGAGCAACUUGAAGCCUUAUCAUGCAGACAAUGAGGAACCAAGUCGAGGUGAGUCUCAUCGAGCACCCCCUUUGAUGACGGAGGCAUUUGACAAAGAAGUGGAGAGCAUUGAAGCCAAGCGUGUCGUGGUGCGACCAAGACAACCAAAGCAUGUGGAGUACUUUGUCAAAUGGAAGGGGCUACCAUACUCCGAAGCAACAUGGGAGAAGGAGACGUCCUUAUGGCAAUAUAAGGACUUGAUUCAGACAUUCGAGAGGCAAGAGUCGACGAGGACGUCGACGGCUUAAGUGGGGGAGGAUGUCACGGGCCAUGUGUUAAAAACAAAGAAAAUGCCCAAGACAUCAUAUAUCUAAGCCUAUGAAGCCAUGUCUUCAUGGAAGCUUCUGGAACGUCCCGGAGAAAUCAAGAACGUGGCGGAGCAUUUAAGAUAAUCUAGGGCAUUCCGGAACAUUCCACACAAGUGUACAUAUUUAAGCCUCACCUAGAAUAAUCUAGAUUAGGCAAGUUGUAUCUAGAACUAUGCUAGAUAUUUUUGGAUGUAAGUAGGGGAUUCUAGAACCCUCAAUUGAGGAGGUGACUUAGGCCUAUAAAUAGGAGGUAAGGCCAUUUGGCCAAACCAUCCAAGAAUUGUAAGCAAUUGUAAAGUUCUCUUAACUUUCAAUACAAAGCUUCCUUUCUCCCAUCUUCUAAGUGAUCUUAGCAUUCUCCAAGCAAUCUUAGCUUUCUUUGUGAUUCGAUCCGGGGAAGCGAGGCUUCGAAGGCUUACUUAGCUUGUUCAUCGAGGUAUUCAAGUCUAAGUGCCGCACGGGCGGAAGGCUUAAAGAGUCAUCCCGUGACACUUGGUUCGACUGAUCGCCGGUCUGUCCCUGAUACUUGCCUCUCGUGCUUGUUUUUAACAGGACUACCCCUAAAUACACAACAACUCGCAACAUGGCGCAAUCGGAAGUUUUGUUAUAGCUAAUUGUUGUAAGUUUUGAUUGACCCAAAAUCCAAGAUCUCAAUAUAUAACUGGAAGAGAUAACGGAUUUGAUUUUUGGAGUCUAUGACAUGCCCAACAAUUCAUAGGAGUUGUCUUAAAAACAUGCCCAACAAUUAUCCCCUUAUCUACGUAUUUCUUUGUGCAGAUGAAGUUGUUGACAGUAUUUCUUGCUAAACCUUAUUGUAUGAGAAACAGAGUGCUUCCCAUUAGGGACUUUGUUAACCAAACAGGAAACUAGCUAGUUAUGUCAUUCAAUUUUCGACAGUGACAGACUCGGUUCUGUUUUUGGCAAAACCUCCUCUUGCUUCAGCAUCCAAUAACUAAGUUAUCCACUUCAAUUGAUUACUGCGCUUGGUUUCGUUUUCCUUGUUUGAGACUCUAUUUUUGUGCUUUUAGUUUCUUUUUCAAUUGCAAGGGGCAGCUCAAAUAGACAAUAAAAAUAUUUAUUCCUGCAAUCGAGAUUCUGUGUUCAAAUACCUCUGUUUUUUCGAUUCUUAGAAUCCUCCCUUCGGCAAUAUCGCUUGUAUAAAGAAAAAAAGGUAAAUUAAUAAACAAAAAUCUUGUUUCACAAAGGACCUGUAGUUCAAGUAGUUAAGAGUGUUUAUUCUUGCACUCGAGGUCCCUUGUUCAAUCCCUAUUGUCCAAUAUUGUUGAAUUAUAAGUCUAUAGCUGAUUAGUAUUAGUGAAAAUAAGAUGAGUUUAAUGUGUGUAUUCACUUGAGCAUAUCUGUCAAGUGUAAAGUUUCAAAAUAUAAGGCCAUGAGUGCCAUGUGGAGUGUGAUCCAUGUAAUUAGGUAGAUGAGUGACUAAGAUUAAAAGUAGAGUUUUGUGUGGUCCUAAAGCUAAGGCCAUCAAUUAAUGUAAAGGAGUGUUAGUGCUCUUUUUUUUCUGAGAUAUACAAAAUAUUCCUCUGCAAUACUUUUGCAAGAAGGGGACAAGAAAGAAAACUUUCGUUUCAGCUUCUUCCUUCUCUGUUUUUCGUUUUCUGUUCAGUUUUCUUCUCUUUGGAUAAAAACUCAUUAAAGAAAGUUACUCUAAC